CUUUCCUUCCCGUCGCGCGUAUAGACGCGCAGCCGCCUCGACGCACGCACGCACGAUGCUGGCGUGUAUGCGGAUGAUCACAUCAGCAGGAUGACAAAAACGACGAGUGAGAAGGUGAAGGAGAAGAGCAGCUGCAAAUUUGUCACGUAAGAGCAACUUAUGCGUCUCCUGCAUCUGCACAUGUGCAAAAAGAAUGACUUUUAAAUAAGAAGCAACAUGAGGUUUGACAUCAUUUCAACUCCAAAAAAGUAACUCUAAAGUCAUUGAUGAACCCCAAGACGGACUAUCAAGCACAAAAGUGAAACUGCGCAAAAGAGAUCCAAUAGAGUUAGAUGCCUUUGCAGACAUUAUGAUCAAUUUGGAAAAUGGGCGUGACCUUCGCAGCUCUGCAGUGCACAUCCAUUUAAUAUUAUAAUGUUGACUAACAUUUCUAAAAAAAAAAAAACAUCUAAUGAGUUCACAAACUGAGGUAUUAAUAGAAGAUUUUAUGCAAAACUUUACGGUUCGUUUGCGGUUUUGGCCUACGGCCGCAUUAUACUAAGGAGGGCUGUUUCUAAUAUUUUGGUGCAAAGUUACGCACUGCCGUCACGAUAACUUGCAAACGAUAUUGUUACAUCGAUGCCUUAAACUAAACUUUAUUAUGGCAGAAUUUGGAAUUGUAUUGCUUAUAAAAUGCUGCAGGUUGCCUAUUUGAUUAUAAAUGUUAACAUUUCGAUUCCAAGCAGUAAAAUCGUAUAUAUUUUUUUCUUUAUAGCAAGAUUGUUCAAUGUUGAACAAUGAACAAAAGGGCUGUCUGUCAUAGCGCCGCAAAGCGGCAGGUAACGCCCAUUUUUUUCUUAGCGCAGUCUGCUGUUGCUACUUAUGUCCACUAGGGGGCGGUAAAAGACAAAGAAUAAAACUGCGCUCCGAGCACUGCAGACAAGGCGACAUUUUUAAUGUAUUCAAUGUCUUGAAUUAUUUUGAAUGAUACGUAACGUUACGUCAUGUUUGCAGGAUUCAUGUCAUGUUAUAUACGAUAAUGGAAUUAGACCAUAAAUAAAUGACAGUAAUACUCAUUCAAACAUUUCAAGCUCAAGUACAGAUGAAGAUGCUUCACUAUAUCUUUAUUAUAUCGCAAGACUAAGACUCUUUGGGGCGGGUAUCUGUAACUUCCAGCUACCUUGAAUGCAGCUUUAUCAGGGUGCGUUCGA